rnacentral:rRNA from 1 species
CCUACGGGUGGCAGCAGUGAGGAAUAUUGGUCAAUGGCCGAGAGUCUGAACCAGCCAAGUCGCGUGAGGGAAGACUGUCCUAUGGAUUGUAAACUUCUUUUGUCAGGGAGUAAAGUCACCCACGUGUGGGGUUUGGAGAGUACCUGAAGAAAAAGCAUCGGCUAACUCCGUGCCAGCAGCCGCGGUAAUACGGAGGAUGCGAGCGUUAUCCGGAUUUAUUGGGUUUAAGGGGUGCGUAGGCGGGUUAUCAAGUCAGCGGUAAAAUCGUGGGGCUCAACGUCAUCCAGCCGUUGAAACUGUUGGUCUUGAGUGGGCUAGAAGUAUGCGGAAUGCGUGGUGUAGCGGUGAAAUGCAUAGAUAUCACGAAGAACUCCGAUUGCGAAGGCAGCACACCGGCGCCCGACUGACACUGAAGCUCGAAAGCGUGGGUAUCGAACAGGAUUAGAUACCCGAGUAGUC